rnacentral:rRNA from 1 species
GUCCUUUUGAUUAUUAUUUAAGGUCUGACCUGCCCACUGAUUUAUUAAAUGGCCGCGGUAUAUUGACCGUGCAAAGGUAGCAUAAUCAUUUGUCUUUUAAUUGGAGGCUUGAAUGAAUGGUUGGACGAAAAAAUUUCUUUCUUUAUUAUAAUUUAAAUAAUUUUAUUUUUUAGUUAAAAAGCUAAAAUGUUAUUGUAGGACGAGAAGACCCUAUAGAACUUUAUGUUUUAAUAAAUAUUUUUAUAUUUUGCUAAUAAUUUAUUAUAUUAAUUAAUAUAUUUUGUUGGGGCGACAAGAAAAUUUAAUUAACUUUUUUAGUACAAUUCACUAAUUAGUGUUUAAAUGAUCCUUUAUUAAGGAAGUUAGAUUAAGUUACCUUAGGGAUAACAGCGUAAUUUUUUUGGAGAGUUCUUAUCGAUAAAGAAGUUUGCGA